UUCUAUACCUCUAAAAAAAUCGUCAAAACCCUUCAAUUUUAAUUUUAAUCAAAAAGCUUGCAAGAAAGGUAACAUUUCAAAACCAAAACUCAAAUCCGGCUAAAUAAAUAGGAAGAUUAUGAUUAAGGCAUCAUCCCAAAACCAAGAUUCAAAUCUAGCAUACACUUUAACGAGAGGCGGCAAGGAAAAAUAAAGUAAGCCUCAAAAAAUGUAAUUUUCAACAUUUAAAACGACCUCCAAUAUAUAUUUCAAUAAGGGACAACAAGGGAAGUAAAUAAAAGCCCCAAAAUGUAAUUUCUAGCAUUUAAAAUGAUUCUCCAGCAUGUAUUUCAACUAGGGGCAGCAAGAGGUGCAAGAUAAAGGCCCCAAAAAUAUGAUUUCCAAUAUUUAAAACAGCCACUAACAUGUAUUUCAAUAAGGGGCAGCAAAGGAAAUACAUAAAAGCUCCCAAAGAUGUAAUUUCCAACAUUCCAACACAUCCUUUCAACAUGUAUUUCAACAAGGGGCAGCAAGAGGAAAUAGAUAAAGCCCCAAAAAAUGUAAUUUUCAGCAUUCCAAACAUCCUUCCAACAUGUAUUUCAACAAGAGGCAGUAAAGGAAAUAGAUAAAGCCCCAAAAAAUGUAAUUUCAGCAUUCAAAACAUCCUUCCAACAUGUAUUUCAAUUAGGGGCAGCAUGAGGAAAUAGAUAAAGCCAAAAAAAAAAAGUAAUUUCCAGCAUUCCAACACAUCCUUCCAACAUGUAUUUCAACUAGGGGCAGCAAGAGGAAAUAGAUAAAGCCCCAAAAAAAUGUAAUUUCAGCAUUCAUGAUAUAUGAAAUAAUAUAAAAUAGGGUAGGAUAGAAGAAUACCUCUUCUCCUUUUUGUAACUUAAAGCAAAAGAGGAGUAAAGCUUCCUUUCCAACAGAGAAAACAGCGAAGAGAUUAUCCUAAUCGAAUGGAUAAUAGAGGUAGAAAAGCAUCCAAAUCUCCCUAAAAUCCCUCAAAAACUUCUUUCAAAAUUUUUUUAACAAACCCUAAGCCACACAAGAUCAAAAGAACAAGUAAUAAUGGAUCUUGAAGAGAUUUUGACAGCACCUCCCUACUUCCAAAAUUUCGGCCAGCACCAGAAAAAUUCCCAAAGUGGUAUUUUAAAGCAAAGAAAAGAGGGAGGAGAAGCCACCUACCAACCACCCAUUCCAGCAAAUCGCGUGAGAGGAGAGGAGAAA